rnacentral:lncRNA from 1 species
AAAACGGUUUUUGAGCAUCUUAUAUAAGCUGUGGUUUUAAAUGGGUUGCACUAUAAACAACAUUAAUGAAAUUAUUAAAUAAAAAUGCGUUUUCUUUCCUCCAGUAUGUCUGUCAUACAAAAAAGAUGGAUGCCUUCCUUUCAAGAUAUUUGAGUGGAUCACCAAAUGACUGCCUACUUCUCUCUCACAGCUCAGAUAAAUAAUUAAAAGGAGAUAUACACAGA